rnacentral:lncRNA from 1 species
CCAAAUAAUUUCUGAAAUAACGUCAAUAUCGUAUAAUAAUAAACAAACCACCCUGUUUGCGUUUAAAUGUUAUGAUUGAGAUUUUUUUUUAGAAAAAUGCCAUUUUAAAUUAGAACCUUCACCAUUUUGUCAAGAAGGUCAGAAUUAUUUUUAAUUGUAUACUGGCCAAAUGACCUAUAAGUUCAAGCCACUCAAAAAUAAAGAAGAAGAAAAUCUAUGUCGAAUCUGUGGUUGCGAUUGUUUUUUGUUUAUACUUAUGAAAAUGAUAAAUCGGUGUUAGUAUACUCAAUAAUAUCACACAAGAGAAUGGUGUCUUUCUGCAUCCUUCCGCAGAAGAGGAGACCUGGAUUAUCGUCUAACUUUGAUGUUUGGCCAUCGAGGACCUGCAUAUUAUAUAUAGGUACCGAAGGAAGUUACUAUCCUCCACGUCUACAAGCUGGCUGAGUCUUAAUCUUUGACCAAGGGUUAAAUUAGCUGCAAGAAGGUUUAUAAGAGGUUUAUAUAAAAGUUCAGCCCUAUCUUCAACUACUGCUGUACGAGAAAUUCAAAACCUGUUAAUAAAUAUCACACAAGAGAAUGGUGUCUUUCUGUAUCCUUCCACAGUAGAGGAGACCUGGAUCAUCCUCUAACACUGAUGUUCGGCCAUUGAGAACCUGCAUAGCAUAUAUGGGUACCUAAGGAAGUUACCACCCUCUAUGUUUAGGAGCUGCGUGAGGCUUAAUCGACCAGGGGAUAAAUCAGCUGCAGGAAGAUGAAUAUACAUCAGGAGACAAGGUUUAUGAUAAAUGGAGGCUAGCAUGACAUAGUUUGGCUCUCUCUUGUAUUUUUAAUCGCUACUUUACAAGGAAUUAAAAGGAUGAAAAAUUUAUGUUUUUUUCUCAGAGUUUUUGUGGAAAUCUGCAUUUGGUCUUCAAGGAGCUAUUUGAAUGGUACUUGACAACUCGGCACUGCAAAUAUUACUUCACUGAGACACAGGCUGUGUUCAAACAAUUUUCACGCUUAAAAGAUGUUUUCCCACUACUUUUCAAUAUUAAAAAGAAUAUUCUCUGGCAAUGUGCAGGUGAUUUUCAACAAAAACUUACCCAAAUGGAAUGUAUCAAGAGUACCAUGCAGGUACUACUUUGCUGAGACAUUGACUGGCUUCAGGCAACUAUUCGCCUUAAAAAGAUGUUUAUGGUACUGGUUCUGUAACAACUGCAGCUGUUAUUGGUGCUCCUACUUAUUUGAUCUUCCUGUAUAUUCCCCAUUGAAGAUGUAGAACAGAACGCGGACUUAGGAUAGGAACACUUCAUUUUGAUCACACUGAUCUCAUUUUUUUUAAUUCUACGAUUUUUUUAAAGUAAAGUUUAGAUAAAAUGAUUAAAUUCUGUUAUUCGUACAUACAUUUUUAGUAGACACUCACAUAUUUUUAUAUAUUACAAGUUAAAAUUCAAAUAUUUAUAUUUUUUAAACUAGUAUCUCUUCAAGAAUAUAUUUUAGUUAACUCUAGUUGUAAAAAAAUACAGAAUUUAAAAUUAUCUAAAUUUUAUUUAUUGGUUAUUUACAGUGUUAACGCAACAGUGUUCCACACAACCUGUUCAGAAAGUGGAAAAUGUAUUUCAAAAUACAACUUAAUAAAAAUAGAUAGUUUAAAUUGGAUUUCAAAAUAAUCUUUAAUGGACCGGUUGUGUGGGCACUCUGUAUAUGUCAUAUACUGUUAUAUUAGUGAUUCUCUGUUUAAAAAAAGGAUUUUAAAUUGAUAUUUUUUAAUAAAAAAGUACAAGAAAUAAAUGGCGAACGCGGCAGGAAAAUAAAAUAUUGAAAUUAACAGAUUUUUUAAAAAAUCUAAAAAUAAAAUUGAGAUAAGAAAAAUUCUGUAAUUUAAAUAGUAAUUUCAGUUUAAAAACUAGCUUUUCUGAAAUAUGUUUUGGUUCAUUUUUUGUUAUAAAAAAUUACAGGAUUCAAAAUUAUCAAAGUUUUAUUUGUUAAAUCAUCUGCAAUAAAAAAAUAAAAUGCUCUAUAAAUAAUAUAGGGUUUUCUAGCAAAAUAAAACACUAAAUUCACUACAAUACAUCAAAACACGUCAUCAUUGCUCACCGAGUUAGCAUCAUCAUCAGAUGAUUAAAACUAAUGUCCCCUCGGUCACUGUCAUCAUAUUUUAGUUAACAAAUUUGCGUUGUCUUAAUAUAAUUCUUUAAUUAUGAUUUUCUUUUUUAAGAGUAUGAAAUAAUCACAUAUUAAUAUAUGGCUUGGUUUGGUUGUAGGUUAUUAUAUUAUAGGCCAUAUUGGCAUUAAAUAAAUUCCUCAUUCUAUACCAGGACUAGGCUAUAGAAUUUUUUUGACUUUGGUCUCAAAUCUGGUUCAAUCUUUGCUGCAAAUUUGUUAAAGUCACCUCUGUACCUUCUACUAAAUCAUGCCUAAAAUAUGUCUUGUUAGUGUAUUCUAGACAUUUUUGUAAGUAUUAUAAGAAUUUGUACGUGUCUUGCCUGUGUAAAUCAGUAAGAGCAUUUUUCAUCCAUUUACAACAUUCCAUUUUAGGGCAUUGUACUCCAGCAUAUUUCCAAUCAUAUCCUCGAUACAACAACGAUUACAUUUUACUCGAUGUACCUUUGUAAUGUAAUGAUAAAUCCGUGUGGUUACGAAAACUGUUUAAAUUCUCUUUUCUUGUAAGUCACUCUCUCUUCUAAAUUCUCUUUUUUCUUGUAAGAAUCUUGACAAUAAAUUCAGUAUUAAUGUAUAGAGAAUUAUAAUAGAACUAGUCUGUAUACUUUUUCUUGAAUCUCCAGUGUUCCUGAUAUCGAACGGUUGGAUUUAUUGGCUUGUAAACCAAAAAGAUUUUCGUUAUCUCGAAGAUUUAACGCGUAAAUAUCAAUGAUAUUUAUCUAGAUCACCAGAUUUUAAAAUGUUUUAUUUGAUUUAAAGUUUUUAAACGUAUUUUAAUUUUGAAUUUGCUGGACUUGUUUAUUUAUAUUGUUGUCUUUGUCUAGUAGUUAUCCAUAGAUUAUUAUUUGGUCUCUCUCCUUUUGGUUAUUUUUUUUUCAGGAUACUGGCCAAAUGUUCCUGACCUGUUCAAGCCAUUUAAAAAUAAAGAAGAAGAAAAUGUAUAUGAUCUGUGGUUGCACAUGGUUAGAAACAGAAGUAUUGAAAAGAAGAAGAACAAUACUUUGAUUCUGUGGUUACGGAUCUAUUAUUGCCUAAAAUUCGAAAAAGAAGAUGAACGCCUGUGGCGCCAUUGUGUCAAAAGUGAGGAAAUUUUGAACUAAAAACUAAAAUGGUUGCCAAUAUUUUUGUAAUUAUGUGAAGAUCUAAAUUAAAUCAUAUUUUUGCGCAGCAUUGGUUAUACAGCAAAAAAAUGAUCAUGACAGGACGACAUUUUCCGUUGUUGGAUGUUCCUUUACAAUUUUUCUGAUUUUUUCGUAGAAAAAGUGGUUCUUUUGUAUACUAUUUGAGCUUAUUCUGUUCCUUAGGCCUGCUUAAUCUCAUAAAAGUAGAUUGUGCAGUAACGCAAUGGAUGUAUACAGUUCCAGGGCAGUACAUUUAUCAUUUCAAUUGAUAUUAUGAACAAUGCAUCAGGACUUAUAAGUAAAUCUAAAAAUUUUAUUUCUUUUGUGUAAAUAUAUUUUUAUUUGUUUGCUAUUGAUGUUCAUUAGUAGAUUUUAUGAUUUUUAAAUUUAAGUAAGGAAAAAUUUCCAAUGGGUGCUGUUUUUAUGGUUCCUUAUUAUCAUAGAUAAAUUCAGAGCAGUGAUUUUUAAUUUAGGCCUAUAUAUGGCUUUUUAUUUUUGAUACAAUACCAUCUACUUAGAACUUUAUGUUGUUUUUGGGUUACUUUCAUUUCUUUAUAAUUGCUUGACUUUCAUAUAUUGUUGAUUGUGGAAAUAAUGUCAUCAUUUAUCAAUUCCAUACAUUAUUCCCUUGAUUGUAUUUCUAUAGGUCUCAUUUGUUUGGUAAAAUAUACCAUUACUUACAGCUUGACUCCCAUAUUUUCUUCAUUGCAGGAAUAAUAACAUCAUUUAUUGAUUCUAUAAAAUAUUCCAUUGGCUCUAUUUCUAUAAGUAUUCUUUUAUUUGUAUUAGUUUUUUUAUAGUAUCAUUCUUCUAGUAUUUUUUUGCUUGUGUGAUUCCUUGUACAGAAUUUAUGUUUUGAUGGAUUCAUUUUUAUGUCAUUUUUUUCAGAUCAUAUGCCAUGAAUUGCCAUAAUUUUGCGCAUUCUCUUGGUUUGAUUUCUCUGUGUUUAAAUAUAAUUUAAAUACGCAGUAACACACUUAAAAAUCUCAGAAUAAGGACUAAUUUCCAUCUAAUUUCCUACUAAUUCCUGGCGCAUUCGCCAUUUAUCCAAAAAAAAAUUGACUUCCACAUAAUUUACUUCUAGUUUUUCUAGCAUUUUUUCCAAUGAAUUUUCCUGAAUAGCAUCGACUCCAGAGCAUCAUAACUAGCCUCCCCAAAGAGGAGGAGACCCGGGUCACCCCCUAACCCUGAUGUUCGGGCAUCGAUGACCUGUGUAGCAUGCAGAGGUACCCAAGGGAGUCACCACCCUCUGGUUUACGAGCUAGGUGUUCUAACGCUAGAGGCUUCGGCCGGAUA